UACGUAGGGGGCGAGCGUUGUCCGGAAUUACUGGGCGUAAAGGGCGCGUAGGCGGCCUGUUAAGUUAGAUGUGAAAACCCCGGGCUCAACUUGGGAGUUGCAUUUAAAACUGGCAGGCUUGAGUGCAGGAGAGGAAAGCGGAAUUCCUAGUGUGGCGGUGAAAUGCGUAGAUAUUAGGAGGAACACCAGUGGCGAAGGCGGCUUUCUGGACUGUAACUGACGCUGAGGCGCGAGAGCGUGGGGAGCAAACAGG
rnacentral:rRNA from 1 species